ACAGUACUGUGCACCUCUCAGAAAACUUGCUCAAGAUCUUGUUAUUUAUAAUGGAGUAUUUUACUCAAAUAAACAAUCUGAAUACUUUUUAAAUGAAUACUUUUUGAUGAAGGCACCCAUGUUUUUGCAAUGACGCCACACAGCGGGCGACACCCAGACACCUCCUUCUUCCUGUGCUGAUGGCUGAGCGCGGCUUACGACGAACUGACAACAACCUGAGCGGAUACCUGGCGCUGAUGUCGGCUCUUUGUGAGGCUGCUUCAGAAAUACGUCUGCAGGACGAGAUGUAAAGGGAGAUAAACUGGAGGGGAAUGGAAGCACGUGUAGUUUGUUGUGAGUUAUGAGGAAAGACACAAGGUGUUGGUGGAGGAGCAGCAGACUGGAAAGAGAAGAGGACUUCAAGAAAAGUAGCAGGUGGAGAACCACAGGGACACAGGCAGAAGCAGCUCAGUCGCCUCUGGGACAAAGUAGAAGAGAAGCAGAGGAUGCCGGACAAACUCAGAACUGCUCGAUGAACAAAGAGACUAAAAGGGCCUGAGAGUGAUGAGUUGGAGCACAUGGAACAAACAUUUGACUGAAGCUCAAGAAGACCCAGCAUCAGAAGUCGAUGUCUUCUUCUACUGUUCUGUGUGUCUCCUAUACUCAUGUUUAAAGCGCUUUUUCAUUAAUUAUAAAUAAA